rnacentral:rRNA from 1 species
UCAAGUGACUAAGUGUAUGUGGUGGAUGCCUUGGCGAUCACAGGCGAAGAAGGACGUAGUAGCUUGCGAUAAGCUGCGGGGAGCCGGCAAACGGGCAUUGAUCCGCAGAUUUCCGAAUGGGGGAACCCACCGACGCAAGUCGGUAUCACACACUGAAUACAUAGGUGUGUGAGGCGAACGGAGCGAACUGAAACAUCUAAGUAGCUCCAGGAAAAGAAAUCAACCGAGAUUGCGAAAGUAGCGGCGAGCGAAAUCGCAGCAGCCCAGUGUUCUGAUAGCACGAACGACAGCAGAAGGGUCUGGAAAGGCCUGCUAUAGAGGGUGAUAGCCCCGUAUGCGAAAUCGGACGUGUGGUACUAAGGAACCGAUAAGUAGGGCGGGACACGUGACAUCCUGUCUGAAGAUGGGGGGACCAUCCUCCAAGGCUAAAUACUCGUGAUCGACCGAUAGUGAACCAGUACUGUGAAGGAAAGGCGAAAAGAACCCCGGGAGGGGAGUGAAAUAGAACCUGAAACCGCAUACAUACAAACAGUAGGAGCCCGUGUAGUCGGGUGACUGCGUACCUUUUGCAUAAUGGGUCAGCGACUUACGUUUUGUGGCGAGCUUAACCGAGUAGGGGAGGCGUAGCGAAAGCGAGUUCGAAUAGAGCGAGAAGUCUCAAGGCGUAGACCCGAAACCAGAUGAGCUAUCCAUGGCCAGGUUGAAGGUGUGGUAACACACACUGGAGGACCGAACCGACUAGUGUUGCAAAAUUAGCGGAUGAGCUGUGGAUAGGGGUGAAAGGCUUAACAAAUCUGGAGAUAGCUGGUUCUCCCCGAAAACUAUUGAGGUAGUGCCUCGUGUAUUGCUCCAGGGGGUAGAGCACUGUUAUGGCUAGGGGGACAUGGCGUCUUACCAAACCAUGGCAAACUCCGAAUACUUGGAAGUAAGAGCACGGGAGACAGAGCACCGGGUGCUAACGUCCGGACUCAAGAGGGAAACAACCCAGACCGCCGUUUAAGGUCCCAAAUAUUGACUAAGUGGAAAACGAAGUGUGAAGGCUAAGACAGUCAGGAAGUUGGCUUAGAAGCAGCCAUCCUUCAAAGAAAGCGUAAUAGCUCACUGAUCGAGUCCUCAUGCGCGGAAGAUGUAACGGGGCUAAGUCAAUAACCGAAAGCGCGGAUUUGCACGAUAAGUGCAAGUGGUAGGGGAGCGUUCUGUAAGCCUGCGAAGGUGGUUCGAGAGGACUGCUGGAGGUAUCAGAAGUGCGAAUGCUGACAUGAGUAACGUUAAAGCGGGUGAAAAGCCCGCUCGCCGUAAGCCCAAGGUUUCCUGCUCUACGUUCAUCGGAGCAGGGUGAGUCGGCCCCUAAGGCCAGGCUGAGAAGCGUAGUCGAUGGGAAGCAGAUUAAUAUUUCUGCACCAUGUGCAAGUGCGAUGGGGGGACGGAGUGCGAAAGAUCAUCCGGGUGUUGGAUGUCCCGGUUUGUGAGUGUAGAAGGCCGACAGGCAAAUCCGUCGGCGGAUCUUCGAGACAAAGCAUCGAGGUUCUACGGAACCGAAGUGAUCGGAAGUGCUUCCAGGAAAAGCCUCUAAGCUUCAGCUUGCAUGUGACCGUACCGUAAACCGACACUGGUGGGCGAGUUGAAUAUACUCAGGCGCUUGAGAGAACUCGGGAGAAGGAACUCGGCAAAUUGACACCGUAACUUCGGGAUAAGGUGUGCCUUUGUAGCGUGAAGAGAGAAACACUCGGAGCGUGAAGAGGCCUCAGAGAAUCGGUGGCUGCAACUGUUUAUUAAAAACACAGCACUCUGCAAAGACGAAAGUCGACGUAUAGGGUGUGAUGCCUGCCCGGUGCUGGAAGAUUAAGUGAUGGGGUGAGAGCUCCUGAUCGAAGUCCCAGUAAACGGCGGCCGUAACUAUAACGGUCCUAAGGUAGCGAAAUUCCUUGUCGGGUAAGUUCCGACCUGCACGA